GGUCCCAAAUUACUACUAAGUGGGAAACGAUGUGGGAAGGCUCAGACAGCCAGGAUGUUGGCUUAGAAGCAGCCAUCAUUUAAAGAAAGCGUAAUAGCUCACUGGUCGAGUCGGCCUGCGCGGAAGAUGUAACGGGGCUAAGUAGUAAACCGAAGCUGCGGCAAUGUGCUUUUGCACAUUGGGUAGGGGAGCGUUCUGUAAGCGGUUGAAGGUGUGUGGUAACGCAUGCUGGACGUAUCAGAAGUGCGAAUGCUGACAUGAGUAACGAUAAAGGGGGUGAAAAACCUCCUCGCCGGAAGACCAAGGGUUCCUGUCCAACGUUAAUCGGGGCAGGGUAAGUCGACCCCUAAGGCGAGGCCGAAAGGCGUAGUCGAUGGGAAACGGGUUAAUAUUCCCGUACUUCUUACAAUUGCGAUGGGGGGACGGAGAAGGCUAGGUGGGCCUGGCGACGGUUGUCCAGGUUCAAGUGCGUAGGCUUAAGAGUUAGGUAAAUCCGGCUCUUUCUAAGGCUGAGACACGACGUCGAGCACCUACGGGUGUGAAGUCAUUGAUGCCAUGCUUCCAGGAAAAGCCUCUAAGCUUCAGAUUGUAAGGAAUCGUACCCCAAACCGACACAGGUGGUCGGGUAGAGAAUACCAAGGCGCUUGAGAGAACUCGGGUGAAGGAACUAGGCAAAAUGGUACCGUAACUUCGGGAGAAGGUACGCUCUUGAUGGUGAAGUCCCUCGCGGAUGGAGCUGACGAGAGUCGCAGAUACCAGGUGGCUGCAACUGUUUAUUAAAAACACAGCACUGUGCAAAAUCGUAAGAUGACGUAUACGGUGUGACGCCUGCCCGGUGCCGGAAGGUUAAUUGAUGGGGUUAGACUUCGGUCGAAGCUCUUGAUCGAAGCCCCGGUAAACGGCGGCCGUAACUAUAACGGUCCUAAGGUAGCGAAAUUCCUUGUCGGGUAAGUUCCGACCUGCACGAAUGGCGUAAUGAUGGCCACGCUGUCUCCACCCGAGACUCAGUGAAAUUGAAAUCGCUGUGAAGAUGCAGUGUACCCGCGGCUAGACGGAAAGACCCCGUGAACCUUUACUACAGCUUGGCACUGAACAUUGACCCUACAUGUGUAGGAUAGGUGGGAGGCUUUGAAGCACGUACGCCAGUAUGUGUGGAGCCGUCCUUGAAAUACCACCCUUGUAGUGUUGAUGUUCUAACGUCGACCCCUUAUCGGGGUUGCGGACAGUGCCUGGUGGGUAGUUUGACUGGGGCGGUCUCCUCCCAAAGAGUAACGGAGGAGCACGAAGGUGGGCUAAUCACGGUUGGACAUCGUGAGGUUAGUGCAAUGGCAUAAGCCCGCUUGACUGCGAGAAUGACAAUUCGAGCAGGUGCGAAAGCAGGUCAUAGUGAUCCGGUGGUUCUGAAUGGAAGGGCCAUCGCUCAACGGAUAAAAGGUACUCCGGGGAUAACAGGCUGAUACCGCCCAAGAGUUCAUAUCGACGGCGGUGUUUGGCACCUCGAUGUCGGCUCAUCACAUCCUGGGGCUGAAGUCGGUCCCAAGGGUAUGGCUGUUCGCCAUUUAAAGUGGUACGCGAGCUGGGUUUAGAACGUCGUGAGACAGUUCGGUCCCUAUCUGCCGUGGGCGUUGGAAGAUUGAAGGGGGCUGCUCCUAGUACGAGAGGACCGGAGUGGACGAACCUCUGGUGUUCGGGUUGUGUCGCCAGACGCAUUGCCCGGUAGCUAAGUUCGGAAUCGAUAACCGCUGAAAGCAUCUAAGCGGGAAGCGAGCCCUGAGAUGAGUCUUCCCUGAUACUUUAAGUAUCCUAAAGGGUUGUCGGAGACUACGACGUUGAUAGGUCAGGUGUGUAAGUGCUGUGAGGCAUUGAGCUAACUGAUACUAAUUGCCCGUGAGGCUUAAC
rnacentral:rRNA from 1 species